GACGAACGCUGGCGGCGUGCCUAAUACAUGCAAGUCGAGGGACGAAACCGGUCUGGGCAACCAGACCGGCUGAAACCGGCGAACGGGUGAGUAACACGUGGGUAACCUGCCUCGAGCACGGGGAUAACCACGGGAAACCGUGGCUAAUACCCGAUGACCCCGAUAGGACGCAUGUCCGGUCGGGCAAAGCUCCGGCGGCUCGAGAUGGGCCCGCGGCCUAUCAGCUUGUUGGUGGGGUAACGGCUCACCAAGGCGAUGACGGGUAGCUGGCGUGAGA
rnacentral:rRNA from 1 species